ACACUCCCUGGACCAGCAAGCGCCCCUAUAGACGCAGCUCAUGACUAUAACUCCAGCUAAGGUAUGAAGGCGUCUGGCUCACGCCUCCUGCAACCAAAGCGUCUCCUUCAUCAGCCACUUGCCGUGCAAUGUCACAAGCAGCUUCGUUGACUUUCUGCCCCUAAAGUGGCUUGUCUUCACUUGCAUAGAAAGUGAAGGUCUGCAUGACGUUCGAUCCAGCUCUGAGGAACUCCCGAUGAAGCUGACGAACUGAGAGCACACAAGCAAAGCCAUGAUGCCACUCAUCCACCAACCUGCAAAACCAUGUCACUCAUCCAUCCACCAACCUGAAAAGCCAUGAUGCCACUCAUCCAUCCACCAACCUGCAAAGUCAUGAUGUCACUCAUCCACCAACCUGCAAAGCCAUGAUGUCACUCAUCCAUCCACCAACCUGCAAAGUCAUGAUGUCACUCAUCCAUUCACCAACCUGCAACACUUUCAAGAGGCUUAGGGGUUAACAAACACCAAAAUGGCUGGUCCAGCUGCUUGUCAUUUGCAUGUCUGGGCCUAAGGAGAGGGAAAUCUGGGUCUCCUGGAACCUUCCUCAAAGCUGUCAUGACAGAUAGCUGGAUGAUUAGAGCUGAGAGGGCUCAAGGUGCUGCAUUCCCCACCCCUCUCAGGCUCCCUGUGUUCUUGGUUUAGUUUGCUCAUCUUGGAACGUACUAGCAGGAGGGGGAACUUUCUGUUGUCUUGUCCUUGGAAAAUGUCAUGACCCACCAAGGAUAUCUGACCAAAGUGCCAUGUGGGUGGGCUCUGCAUGAGCUGCUCUCUAAUGGGAAGAGAAGCCAUUGGGCCGCAAGCUGAAGGAUUCCAGGUUCUCACUGGGUGGAGGCGAGGAAGAGCAGUCCCCGCAGUGGAACAGCCUUAGCAAACACAAAGUAGCAUCAGGUUUGGCAUUUGGGGAAAUGACAGGAAUCUACCUGGGACAUUGAAGGGAUGUUGGAAAGGUGGUAGGCGAUACAGUUGAAAAGAGGACCUUAGAGCAGAGGACAAAUGGCCUACUAGCCUGGUACCCACAGUUCGUGCUCUGAAUCUUAGGUGGUAGCUGGGACUAACCCAGUGGCUUUUGCUUGGUUUUUAAUUUAAUUUAAUUUUUUUUUUUUUUUUGCUUAUUCACUUUACAUCCUGCUCACUGCCCCCCCCGCCCCCCCCAACUCUUCCAUCACUCCCUCUCCUAACCUAGUGCUUUUUGCUUGUUCUUUUGAGAAAGAAUCCUGUGGCACUUUGACUGAGACUGCCCCCCACAAUUCAUGUUUGAAUACUUGGCUUCCAGUCGUUGGAACUAUUUUAGGAAGGAUUGAGAAGUGUGGCUUUGUUGGAGGAAGUGUAUCACUGAGGGCCGGUUUUGAGAUUUAAAAGGACUCUCCCCAUGUUGGGAGUUCACUUUGCCACCUUCAUGUGAUAUCUGAGCCCCAGCUGCUGGUCUAGCUUCUGCCACUGCUCCCACUAUAAGCCCUGAAUGAAUGGCAAGUGCAAACAC
rnacentral:lncRNA from 1 species